UAUAGCUACAAGACAGGAAUUGACAGAUGUAAACUAUCCAUCAGACAAAUCAUAACACUAUUGAAGCUGUCCGGAUUCAGGAAUUGCUCCACCAGCAUUGGGAACUUUAGCAUGUCAAAAAAUGAAUGUUUACUUGUGAACUUGAACAAGGAAAUCUGAAAGAUGUAUUAUUUAUAGACUGGAAAAUAGAUUGUCUUCUUGGAUAAUUUCUAAAGUUCCAUCAUUUCUGUUUGUACUUGUACAUUCAACACUGUUGGUUGACUUCAUCUUCCUUUCAAGGUUCAUUUGUAUGAUACAUUCGUAUGUAUGUAUAAUUUUGUUUUUUGCCUAAUGAGUUUCAACCUUUUAAAGUUUUCAAAAGCCAUUGGAAUGUUAAUGUAAAGGGAACAGCUUAUCUAGACCAAAGAAUGGUAUUUCACACUUUUUUGUUUGUAACAUUGAAUAGUUUAAAGCCCUCAAUUUCUGUUCUGCUGAACUUUUAUUUUUAGGACAGUUAACUUUUUAAACACUGGCAUUUUCCAAAACUUGUGGCAGCUAACUUUUUAAAAUCACAGAUGACUUGUAAUGUGAGGAGUCAGCACCGUGUCUGGAGCACUCAAAACUUGGUGCUCAGUGUGUGAAGCGUACUUACUGCAUCGUUUUUGUACUUGCUGCAGACGUGGUAAUGUCCAAACAGGCCCCUGAGACUAAUCUGAUAAAUGAUUUGGAAAUGUGUUUCAGUUGUUCUAGAAACAAUAGUGCCUGUCUAUAUAGGUCCCCUUAGUUUGAAUAUUUGCCAUUGUUUAAUUAAAUACCUAUCACUGUGGUAGAGCCUGCAUAGAUCUUCACCACAAAUACUGCCAAGAUGUGAAUAUGCAAAGCCUUUCUGAAUCUAAUAAUGGUACUUCUACUGGGGAGAGUGUAAUAUUUUGGACUGCUGUUUUUCCAUUAAUGAGGAAAGCAAUAGGCCUCUUAAUUAAAGUCCCAAAGUCAUAAGAUAAAUUGUAGCUCAACCAGAAAGUACACUGUUGCCUGUUGAGGAUUUGGUGUAAUGUAUCCCAAGGUGUUAGCCUUGUAUUAUGGAGAUGAAUACAGAUCCAAUAGUCAAAUGAAACUAGUUCUUAGUUAUUUAAAAGCUUAGCUUGCCUUAAAACUAGGGAUCAAUUUUCUCAACUGCAGAAACUUUUAGCCUUUCAAACAGUUCACACCUCAGAAAGUCAGUAUUUAUUUUACAGACUUCUUUGGAACAUUGCCCCCAAAUUUAAAUAUUCAUGUGGGUUUAGUAUUUAUUACAAAAAAAUGAUUUGAAAUAUAGCUGUUCUUUAUGCAUAAAAUACCCAGUUAGGACCAUUACUGCCAGAGGAGAAAAGUAUUAAGUAGCUCAUUUCCCUACCUAAAAGAUAACUGAAUUUAUUUGGCUACACUAAAGAAUGCAGUAUAUUUAGUUUUCCAUUUGCAUGAUGUGUUUGUGCUAUAGACAAUAUUUUAAAUUGAAAAAUUUGUUUUAAAUUAUUUUUACAGUGAAGACUGUUUUCAGCUCUUUUUAUAUUGUACAUAGACUUUUAUGUAAUCUGGCAUAUGUUUUGUAGACCGUUUAAUGACUGGAUUAUCUUCCUCCAACUUUUGAAAUACAAAAACAGUGUUUUAUACUUG
rnacentral:lncRNA from 1 species